GAGGGACAGUGAGUGAGUGAGUGAGUGAGAGAGAGAGAGGCUGACUGCGAAUUUCCUUCUCUCCAUAGACGCACACACACACGCACACGUACCUC
rnacentral:miRNA from 1 species